rnacentral:rRNA from 1 species
AUUGAACGCUGGCGGCAGGCCUAACACAUGCAAGUCGAGCGGAUGAAGGGAGCUUGCUCCUGGAUUCAGCGGCGGACGGGUGAGUAAUGCCUAGGAAUCUGCCUGGUAGUGGGGGAUAACGUCCGGAAACGGGCGCUAAUACCGCAUACGUCCUGAGGGAGAAAGUGGGGGAUCUUCGGACCUCACGCUAUCAGAUGAGCCUAGGUCGGAUUAGCUAGUUGGUGGGGUAAAGGCCUACCAAGGCGACGAUCCGUAACUGGUCUGAGAGGAUGAUCAGUCACACUGGAACUGAGACACGGUCCAGACUCCUACGAGAGGCAGCAGUGGGGAAUAUUAGACAAUGGGCGAAAGCCUGAUCCAGACAUGCCGCGUGUAUGAAGAAGGUCUUCGGAUUGUAAAGCACUUUAAGUUGGGAGGAAGGGCAGUAAGUUAAUACCUUGCUGUUUUGACGUUACCAACAGAAUAAGCACCGGCUAAGUUCGUG